UUUAUUUUUUUUAUUUAUUUAUUUUUUUCUCUGCGCGUUUAAAAGUCGAAGCAUCUCCCACUCGCCGGAGUGCUCGCUCCCCAGCGAUCAGACGAGGACUCACUAAUGCCGGUCGCUUACUCCUCCCACCAACCCCGGGGUUGGAUCUAUCGUUAGCCCCACGUUACAGAUUUCUUCACUUUAAAAAAAAAACAACA